rnacentral:tRNA from 2 species
UAUAUUUUGGUGUAUGAGGCACUAAGAAUUUUGAUUUCUGAGGGUUUAGUUUAAUUCUAUAAAAUAUAG